rnacentral:lncRNA from 1 species
GCUAAAAUUAUUCAUGUGUCAUUAAAAUUAAUAGAGAAAAAAAAAAAAAAACAUUUGUGGAAGAAGGAGGAGCCGGGCUAGAAAAACAAUUAUCCUGUCCCAAAUUACCUAUGACUUUUGAUACCUUUUCUGAAAUUCUCAAGUCGCUAAAUGUUUUACAAAAAAAGAAGAUGUGGUAUUAUGAAUGCCAAUGAGACAGCUCUCCACAAGAGACCAAAAUGACACAAAUUAACAUUUAAAGGUCACCUUACGGCCUUCAACAAUAAGCAAAAGCCGAUACUGCAUAGUCUGAUAUAAAAGGCCCCGAAAUGACAAUGUAAAACAAUUCAAAUGAGAAAAUUAACAGCCUUAUUUAUGUACAAAAAAUGAACGAAAAACAAAUAUCACUGAACCACUGAAUUACAGGCUCC